rnacentral:rRNA from 1 species
UAGUAUUUAGUUAUUGGUUAAUAUUUAUAUAAUAUAAAUUAAUUCUAUAGAUAAAUAAAAAGUGGAAUUCUUAUGUUAUUUUAUAGAUGUAGGAUAUUUACAUAAGAGGCUAAAAAAUUUUAAAAAUAGACUAGGAUUAGAUACCCUAUUAUUUUAAAAUAUAAGUAAUAUACUAGAUUAUUAUAAGUUAGUUACUUUAAAUUUAAAAAAUUUGGCGGUAGUUUAGUCUAUUCAGAGGAACCUGUUUUUAAAUCGAUACACCACGUAAAAUUUUACUUGUUUUGUAUGGUUUGUAUACCAUCAUUGUUAGAUAAUUUUUAAAGAAAAUAAAUUAUUGCAAGCAGUUUAUCUGAAAAAAUUAGAUCAAGGUGCAGCUUAUAAAUAAGUUAAAAUGGGUUACAAUAAAUUUAUAUUUAGACGAAAUAAUAUUAAAAAGAAUAAAAUUAGGAAGGUGGAUUUGAUUGUAAUCUAAGAUUUAGUAAGAUUAGGAGAAAUAAGCUCUAAAUUAUGUACAUAUUGCCCGUCGCUU